AGAACGAACGCUGGCGGCAUGCCUAAUACAUGCAAGUCGAACGAACACUUCGGAGUUAGUGGCGCACGGGUGCGUAACGCGUGGGAAUCUGCCCCUUGGUUCGGAAUAACAGUUGGAAACGACUGCUAAUACCGGAUGAUGACGAAAGUCCAAAGAUUUAUCGCCAAGGGAUGAGCCCGCGUAGGAUUAGCUAGUUGGUGAGGUAAAGGCUCACCAAGGCAACGAUCCUUAGCUGGUCUGAGAGGAUGAUCAGCCACACUGGGACUGAGACACGGCCCAGACUCCUACGGGAGGCAGCAGUAGGGAAUAGUGGACAAGUGGGACGAAAGCCUAGAUCCAGCAAUGCCGCGUGAGUGAUGAAGCGUUAGGUUGUAAAGUCUACUUUACCGAG
rnacentral:rRNA from 1 species